GCCCAGCUAGCUCAGUCAGUAGAGCAUGAGACUCUUAACCUCAGGGUCAUGGAUCGUGCCUCACGUUGGGUG
rnacentral:tRNA from 1 species